GCCUCCACCCCCAUGCUCUAUUUUGAGUCCCAUUCUUUUUAAUCUUUACAUGCUUCCUCUUGGGGACGUCAUCAGGAGACACGGCAUCAGUUUCCAUAGUUACGCUGAUGACACACAGCUGUAUGUUGCUGUGUCUCCUGAUGACUCAGGGCCAAUUGAUACCCUUUUAAAUGCAUUUUAGACAUCGAGUCAUGGAUGGCAGCGAACUUCCUACAGCUCAACCAGGACAAAACAGAAGUUUUGGUUGUAGGUCCUGACGGCCAGAGAGAGAAACUUUUAUUAAAUCUACAAGGUUUUAAACUAGCACCUUCUGUAAAAAACCUGGGCGUAAUUUUUGACUCCGAGCUGAAUUUUAUCCCUCAUAUUAAAAAUAUAAUGAAAAUAGAUUUUUAUCAUCUCAAGAACAUAUCCAGAGUCCGCCCGUUUCUCUCUCAGGCCAGCAGGAGGUGCUAAUGCAUGCUUUUAUCUCCUGCCGGUUAGAUUAUUGUAAUGCCCUGCUCUCUGGUCUUCCCAAAAAGAGUAUUUUAAAUCUCCAAUUAUUACAAACCUCAGCCGCUCGCGUGCUGACGAGGACCAGAGGGCGGGAUCACAUUACACCUGUUUUAAGGUCGCUGCAUUGGCUCCCCGUCCGCUUCAGGAUCCAUUUUAAGGUUCUUUUAUUGGUUUAUGUGUCUUAAAGGCCUUGCACCCAGCUAUUUAUCUGACCUGCUUUUACCGUAUCGACCCUCGCGGAUCCUGAGGUCCUCCGGCAGCAGCCUUUUAUCCAGACCAGUAGCCAGAACCAGAACCCACGGUGAGGCGGCAUUUAGCCACUACGGCCCCACCUGUGGAACAGCCUGCUGGAGAGCCUCAGGACUGCAGAGACUGUCAAUACUUUUAAAAGAAGGUUAAAGACGCACCUUUUAAAUCA